rnacentral:antisense_RNA from 24 species
CUUCAACGACCCCAGCCACAACGGCUGUUCGUCGGUGUGGUCCUGACCGUAAGUGUUCAGCAGCGCCUGCGCCUC